UGGGGAAUUUUGGACAAUGGGCGAAAGCCUGAUCCAGCAAUGCCGCGUGUGUGAAGAAGGCCUUCGGGUUGUAAAGCACUUUUGUCCGGAAAGAAAUCCUUGGCUCUAAUACAGUCGGGGGAUGACGGUACCGGAAGAAUAAGCACCGGCUAACUACGUGCCAGCAGCCGCGGUAAUACGUAGGGUGCAAGCGUUAAUCGGAAUUACUGGGCGUAAAGCGUGCGCAGGCGGUUUGCUAAGACCGAUGUGAAAUCCCCGGGCUCAACCUGGGAACUGCAUUGGUGACUGGCAGGCUAGAGUAUGGCAGAGGGGGGUAGAAUUCCACGUGUAGCAGUGAAAAUGCGUAGAGAUGUGGAGGAAUACCGAUGGCGAAGGCAGCCCCCUGGGCCAAAUACUGACGCUCAUGCACGAAAAGCGUGGGGAGCAAAACAGGAUUAGAUACCCUGGUAGUCCACGCCCUAAAACGAUGUCAACUAGUUGUUGGGGAUUCAUUUCCUUAGUAACGUAGCUAACGCGUGAAAGUUGACCGCCUGGGGAGUACGGUCGCAAAGAUUAAAAACUCAAAGGAAUUGACGGGGUCAUAGCUGUUUCCU
rnacentral:rRNA from 1 species